rnacentral:rRNA from 1 species
GGGAUUGCCCUAGUAACGGCGAGUGAAGCGGCAACAGCUCAAAUUUGAAAUCUGGCCCUAGCGGUCCGAGUUGUAAUUUGUAGAGGAUGCUUUUGGUGCGGUGCCUUCCGAGUUCCCUGGAACGGGACGCCAGAGAGGGUGAGAGCCCCGUACGGUUGGACACCUACCCUAUAUAUAGCUCCUUCGACGAGUCGAGUAGUUUGGGAAUGCUGCUCUAAAUGGGAGGUAAAUUUCUUCUAAAGCUAAAUACCGGCCAGAGACCGAUAGCGCACAAGUAGAGUGAUCGAAAGAUGAAAAGCACUUUGAAAAGAGGGUUAAAUAGCACGUGAAAUUGUUGAAAGGGAAGCGUUUGCGACCAGACUUUUUCAGGGAGGAUCAUCCGGUGUUCUCACCGGUGCACUUCACCCUGUUUAGGCCAGCAUCGGUUUUUGCAGGGGGAUAAAAACUUGGGGAAUGUGGCUCCUUCGGGAGUGUUAUAGCCCCUUGUAUAAUACCCCUGCGGAGACCGAGGACCGCGCUUCGGCAAGGAUGCUGGCGUAAUGGUCGUCAACGACCCGUCUUGAAACACGGACCAAGGAGUCGAACAUUUGUGCGAGUGUUAGGGUAUUAAACCCCUACGCGUAAUGAAAGUGAACGUAGGUGAGAGCCCUUCGGGGUGCAUCAUCGACCGAUCUUGAUGUCUUCGGAUGGAUUUGAGUAAGAGCAUAACUGUUCGGACCCGAAAGAUGGUGAACUAUGCGUGGAUAGGGUGAAGCCAGAGGAAACUCUGGUGGAGGCUCGCAGCGGUUCUGACGUGCAAAUCGAUCGUCAAAUCUGCGCAUGGGGGCGAAAGUAUGUAUACCCAACUACAAUCUAUGCAGGAAAGAAAUUAUGUGCUAACAACAAUCUCUUCAGGACUAUCGAACAUCAUACUGUCGGAC